AGGUUUUAAAGAUCUCCCCUCCCUGGUCCAGCACCAGCCGGUCUGGAUGGCUGUAACCCUGUCAUGAGGAGAGAAGGUGGUCACCGGCUCCUUGAGGUCCCGGCCCGGCCCGAGGUCUAAGCCUCUGCAGCCGCAAGUUCUUGCACUUGGGAGAUGAUGCGGCUCCCCCCACUUAACAGGAGGGGAUCUCAUGCAGGCAGGGGGCCCGGAGGUACCUCUGCUUUCAGUGCGCCAUUUGUGUCCAUCCACGUCUGGAAAGCUGCUCCAAGGUCAUCUUGCUGCUGUGCAAAGAGGAGACGGGGUGUGCAUCCUGUCCCCACUCCUGGCCCCAAGACCUCCCCAGACUCACCAAGAGGGAGACCCAGGGUCUGAGCACGAGCUCUCCCAGCCACCCGCCCGGGUGGUAUCACGGCCAAGUCGCCUGCCUCCUGUGGAACUCUCUGUCUUUCCUCCACUUACAAACGGAGUCAGAGCUGACCCUUCCACUCCCUUUCUCCAGGCCUUCCCUAGCUCUCCAUCACCCUCAGGAUUAAGUACAAACUCCUCCACGUGGUUACAAGACCUGAGCUGAGUGUUGUGGUCUCUGGCCCAGACUCUCUUCUCUUGGUCACACAAACUCUGUGCACCAGACGCACUCUUGUGUUCCCAAAUCGCUAAGCACCAUGCUCUAUCUAGCCACGGGGCCUUUGCACAUGCUGUUCCCAUCACCUGGAUCAUUCUUCUUACCCUCCAAUGCUCCAUCUGGCUAUCUCCUAAUCCAGUGGUUCUCAACUAGGGGCAGUGUUGCCCCCUGGGGGACAUUUGGCUAUAUCUAGAGACAUUCUUGGCUGUCACAACUGGAGGAGGGGUUGCUUCUGGCAUCUAGCGGGUAGAGGCCAGGCACUCUGCUAAACACCCUAAAAUCACUCGUAGCAAAGGAUCAUUUGUUGGUAAAGGCUGCAGUUGAGUAGCCCUGCCCUAGACUCAUCCUACAUGUCAGCUUCCUCGGGAAAUCCUUCAUCGGGCUCCCGCCCCCAGGCUGGGUGCGGUUCCUUUCUCCGUGUGUCGGCAGUGCCUGUGUUUCUCCUCUGGCUUGCAUUGUAGCUGUCAACCACACACCUGUGCCUCCAACCCUAGCACUGGACUUUCCAGAAGCACAGCAGCGGUCUUGCCGUGAGAACAGUGACAGGGAGAGCAGGACGGAGAGCAAAGCCCGAGAGGUCCAGAGCCCGGACUCUACAGAUCCUUCACAUUUCCAAGCGAAUGUUAGACGCAGCUUCCUAUUUUCCACAAGGAAGCCUUGAUGGGAUUUUGAUUGGGAUUGCGUUGAAUCCAGAUACCAACUGGAGGAAAACCGACAUCUUAACAAUAUUGCGCUUUUGACCAGCGAACACAGAAAUAGGCAGCCAAGGAGGCAGAAUGACUCCAAAGUCCCGGUGAACUCUGGGUGGACCUGGAAGGGGGAGGUCAGACUCCACGGGGGAGGUCAUCCUGCCUGUGUGUGUGAGGACAGCUGGACCAGUGAAACACCAGGAGCUGUGCAUUUGCAGGUAGGGGGGAAGAGGGACCUUAAAGGCAGAAGUUCCCUGCACUGGAUGGGGCAGGACCUUCUGGGUGCAAACAUGGACAGUCAGAAGGGCCACAUUCCCAGGUCCCAAGGACUGAGGCCAUUGCCCAUGCAGGAAACUUCUGGAUAUGUUGGUUCUGCCCCAUGCAAGUUUCCAAACCUGCUUCUCCUGGCCCAUGGCCUAUGGCAGAACCCCAGCCCCCACCCCACCCUGCCCCCAACAC